ensembl:antisense Gm43691 predicted gene 43691
UGUGUGCUUGGCAUUUCUGAGGGCACAUGAGACAGCAGGUGGAAAUGCCUUGGCAUGGCAGAAUCUGGAGGAUCUCUUCUCUCCUCGAAGUCCGGAGGUGCUGGAUGAAGGCCAGGAAGCUCUGGACGGCCUCUGCCUUGGACAGGUUUUCAGGCUCCAGGUUCUUUCUGAUGGACUUCCAGUGCUCCGCCAGCUGCAAAGCACAGCCCCGGGUGCAAGCCCCUUAGUUCUGAGCUCCGGACUUACAGCCGCUAAUACGUAGGACUGUUUCCUCUAGGGGGAGGGGGUGGGGGGCACGCUAGAGCUGCUCGACCUUGGACCAUUAGCUAUCUGAGGUUUGGAUGUGUGGGUCCAGCAAUGACUGUGUUGUGACAAGCACACCCGAGGCCAGGCUUUGAGCGCACUAGGGGAAGUGUGCGGAAGUUUCAUUAACGGCUGGGGACUUGGUGUUUGGGAAAGGCAAAGUGAGACCUGCCAGAGUCGUACUGCUUUCUAACUUGCUUGGACCUCACUGCAAAUCAAAGUUUCAAACCGUCUGAGCUCCCUACUCUUCUUACGGCACUGCUUCUGUGGAAUCCAAUGCCGCGCUGUUGCUGGGAUCUUAACUGUUCAGAGUUUGUAUCUAUG